CGGUCUGUAUGAUUUGCUAUGGGACAAGGCAUGAUAUGGGCCAAGAGGGCCCAAUGACACACAGGAACAGAUCGAGCCCAGGAAAGAAUCCUCCAGAGCAGCAAGCUGGCCACAGGGUUCAGUUUUUCAUUUUUUUGCCUAUAGUUUUGAGCUUUGCAAGACAGGACAAACUGGUUCAUAUUUCAGAGACUUGGGUGUUUGUCUUGAGAUGGAAGAUAAAGUUCUUCUGUCCUUCUGGUCUUUCCUUGAGGCACACUGUGGUACGAAGCUCUGGAGAGCGGCAAAGGUGAUUUGUACUGUCUGACAUUUCUAGCUUGCCUUGUGAUUUCUUGCAACAUGCAGUCAAGACCUUCCCUCAAACAGCAUGAAAGUUCUGGCACCCGGUUGUGGGAUCCAGAAGGACACACCACUUCCCAGGCUGAAUGUCUUCUGCUGGCUGAGACACAGGAAAGGAGGAGCUCUUUGCUUCCUGCGGCCCCACCAUGGAGAUCCAGGAGAGGAAAAUCCCUUGUUCCUAUUCCACCACAAUCUCGUGCAGAGUCCCAACCCUGGCCGAAGAUCAGCAAGCAAACUUCUCUAAGCUGCCAUGCCCUGUGAAUAGAGGCCGCGGUGCUGACCAGAAAGUUGAACUGCUUUGCAGAGGACCAGUAUCAAAACACAGAGACUGGAAGGAAGGAGGAAUUCACAAAAUGCAGUAAAAGCAUCAGCAUGGAUCACAUCUUCAGCACAUCUGGGUACCUUCUGACACUGCUUUUUCCUUCUGAGCUCAUGGAAAGGGACAAGGUGGAGGACUGAGUAAAUGAGCUCCCACUCUGAAGACAUUUGCUAUUACAAACUCAGUUGCAAACUAUGUGGUCAUCUGUGUGUUCGAGGUGUUAUACCCUUUCCCUGUUCUUAACCUGCCUUCUGUUCCAGGAUAGGAAUCAUAAAAGAAUUUACAUUCGUGCUUAAUUUUAACCUAUUAUCCUGAAUGCACCUAAGUGUGCUUUAGGUUUAGCACCUGCUUUGCACAGUCAGCACACCAGUUCUGAAAAUUUCUGUAAUUUUGUGCAUUUUGUUUCCCUUCCCAUCCUGCUGCUGUGGAUGAGUGCUUUUCUCCUUGAAUAACUAUACCAGCUCCUCCCAUAUUCAAGUGCCUUUCUCGCUCUAUUCCCUCUGUUUCUUUUCCCCUCUUCUCUGUCUCUUCAGCUGCUUUUCCUUUAGCUGCUGUCCAAACUUUCCCUGCUAGUUACAGUUAACGUGCUUCCUCUCAUGUCCUACAUUCUCUGCCACAAGCACUGAUAUUCUCUUUUUUUUUUUAACCUAAAACCGGUGAAUCCAAAGUUAUUCACAUGCUUGCAGUGAACAUGAAACACUCUUGACUCUUGAGUUUCUGGGUUCUGGACUGGGCACUAGAGCAAACCCAAGGCUUUUGGACAUACCAGUCACUGUGCAAGAUGAGGGAUAUACAUGUGCCCCAUCCCCUACAGCCCAGCAGCUUAUUUGCUUAAAAAGGCACAAACUCUAAGGGAGCUGAAAUGGAAGAACAACUGUGACAUAUGAAGUAAGAAGAAUGAUUGCUUCCUGUGCAGAUCAGCUUCAUCCAAGCUUAGACUUCAAAAAGAUUUUGUAACUUUUAAACAAAGCAGUUCUCCUAAUCGCAUGUCUAUGAUAAAAUCAUGGUAGCACUUAAUCCGCGUUAUGCUUUGUUUCAUUUAGAUACUAACUGUAGGCUGUUUUUGUUAUACUUCACUCACAGUGCUACUGAAGACAUUUACUGUUACCAGGAAAAUAUGUUGCAAAACUAUG